UAUUCUCAAUACCACAUUAGCGAAUCCCACCUGAUGGCGCAAGACCCACAUCUCCAAAAUGGAGAUCAUGGGGAUAACAAUAAAUGAUGUAGAACCGACUUGAUGUUCUUAUCGCUAUUGAAAUUUGAAUCCAUCAAGGGUCUAGUAAUAACUUGGAACCUUGAACCAAGAGCA